UCUCCAUUGGCCAGCUCCAUGUCAAACCUUCCGACUCAUACCAGCAUGAAAAGCAGAUGUUAAACAAUGAUGAUGUAUGUUUCUCUCUUUGUCUAUCUGUCUGUAUGUCUCUCUAUCUCUGUCCUUCUCUCUCUCUCUCUUUUUCUUUCAUUCUUACUUUCUCUUACACUCUCUCUUUCUCUUUCACAGUCUAAUAAGCUCUGUCCUUCUUGUGGCUCAAGAGUGCGGCGAUGUCACCUUACCCAGGUGUACUACUAAAAGGAUUCUGCUGAUAGGAACAUCAACAUGUUUUGUACUUGAAAUGCUGCAACAUUUCUAUCAAGAAUUGAUCUCAAGAACUGUAGGUGUUCAUUUGGACAUUCCUAUCUCCAUCCUCAUUCUAAGGACUCCUGCUUAAUAGGACUGCACACACACACACACACACAAUUUUCAUGACGCAUUGUCUGAGAUUAUAUAUUUAUGUGUAUAUGUGUAUAUAUAUAUAUAUAUAUAUAUAUAUGUAUAUGUGUAUAUAUGUAUGUGUAUAUAUGUAUAUGUAUAUAUGUGUAUAUAUGUAUAUAUAUGUGUAUAUAUAUGUAUAUAUAUAUAUAUGAAUGUUUUUAAUUAUUUGUUUUCUAUUGUUUUUUAUUUAACCAAAAACAAUGUGAGUUAUAAAAAAUAAUGCAGGUUGAUGGUUGUUGUGAGCCGACUUUGUUCUGUAGAGAGAGAACAGAGAAGGUCAGUGCCCAACACCGUUUCUUGGGAAAUUUUCCCAAAGAAAUAUUGAAAAUACAAGAUGAUAGUAUUAACCAUCAACCUGCAUUUUUUUUUUUUGCUUUGUAAAAAAAAAAUAAUUACAAAAAUUUAAGUUAUGCUAAUUGAAAACACAUGAAAAUAAUUUAUUUGACUACCCAAUACACACACACACACACACACACACACACACACACAUAUAUAUAUAUAUAUACAUAUAUAUAUAUAUGGGAGAAUUUAUGAAAAAAAACAACAACAGACGAGGACAGGUGGUGUAAACAACAAAAGGAUGUAUUAGUAUAACGCUCGGGAAUACAGAAAGUCUUUAACGUUUCGAGCUACGCUCUUCAACAGAAAGAAUACGGAGAAAACAUGGAGAAAAACAUGGAGAGAAAAAAAAGUGGGGGAAAACACGGAGAAAAAAUAUAUAUAUAUUGACAUUUAUACACGUGUGUGUGUAUAUGUAUGUUUAUGUAUUUGUUUUGCAAGAUUUUUUAUGUGAAAUCAUGUGUUGAAACAGAUAUUGUUACACUUGAAGAUAGUCCUAUUUUCCUGUUUUGCUAAUUAAACACACCCCCCAUAUAUAUUUAGUUUUCACUUCAGCCUUCUUCUUCUUAUUGUUAUUAUUAUCUUAGUUUCUUUGUCCAAGUUCUUUCCUCACACAUUCUGUGACUUCUUCAGCUACACUCCAACCCUCCCUUAAAAUGAUAAUAAAGCUGAAGUGAAGACCAGAUAUAUAUAGUGCAUAUGUUUGUUUGAUUGGCAAAAUAUGACCAUCACCAAGUAUAACUAUAUAUAUGUAUGUAUGUAUGUAUAUAUCUGUAUGCUAUGAACAUGCCCUCUCACAUCUCUGUACAGACACUUUUCGGACACCUCCCCUUCCAUUGAGGAGCUGGCAGAACAAUUAGCACAUCAGACGAAAUGCUUUUUAAGGCUUUUCUUUCUGGCUCUGUAGGUUCCGAGAUCAAUCUCCACCAUGGUCAAUGUAAUCAACGAACUCCCACUCUCCUAAAAUUGCUAGCUUUGUGCCAAAAUUGAGAGGAAAGAGAAAAAAUUUUCGUAAAUAAAGUUUUUUUUAUAAUGUA